GACGAACGCUGGCGGCGUGCUUAACACAUGCAAGUCGAACGGAAAGGCCCUGCUUUUGUGGGGUGCUCGAGUGGCGAACGGGUUAGUAACACUUUAGUAACCUGCCCUUUACUUUGGUAUAACUUCAGGAAACUGGUGCUAAUACCUGAUUGGAGCUCCUGCUGCAUGGUUGGGGUUUGAAAGUUUCGGCGGUUGGGGAUGGACUCUCGGCUUAUCAGCUUGUUGGUGGGGUAGUGGCUUACCAAGGCUUUGACGGGUAGCCGGACUGAGAGGGUGACCGGCCACAUUGGGACUGAGAUACGGCCCAGACUACUACGGGAGGAAGCAGUGGGGAAUAUUGCAAAAUGGGCGGAAGCCUGAUGCAGCAACGCAGCGUGCGGGAUGACGGCCUUCGGGUUGUAAACCGCUUUCGCCUGUGACGAAGCGUGAGUGACGGUAAUGGGUAAAGAAGCACCGGCUAACUACGUG
rnacentral:rRNA from 1 species